UACGUAGGGUGCAAGCGUUGUCCGGAAUUAUUGGGCGUAAAGAGCUCGUAGGCGGUUUGUCACGUCGGAUGUGAAAACCCGGGGCUUAACCCCGGGCCUGCAUUCGAUACGGGCUGACUAGAGUUCGGCAGGGGAGACUGGAAUUCCUGGUGUAGCGGUGAAAUGCGCAGAUAUCAGGAGGAACACCGGUGGCGAAGGCGGCUUGCUGGGCCAGUUCUGACGCUGAGGAGCGAAAGCGUGGGGAUCAAACAGG
rnacentral:rRNA from 1 species